UCAAGUAUUAAAUACGUUCAAAACCCACAACCUCGAAUCAAAACCUUCUGUUCCAAAAAGCUCUCAAACCAUUUACAGCAAAGCUUUACAAAUCUCUACUCCUAAAUUGUUUAGAUCCUUCAAGUGAAACAUCCGGGUGGUGACCAUGAGCAGGACCAACGUGUUUCCCUCCUUCGUCAAGUCAACUAUGCCAACCGCGCAGUUUCGAUGAGAAUUACAUCCAAGAACUCGUUGAGAAAGCCAUCAGCACUUUCUUUCUUAAUGCAUACGAUGGCCUCAAAAUAACUGAAGGAAGUGUCAAAGGGAAGGACAAGUGACUCAGCAACUGGAGUUUCACAUCACUAGCUUUCGUGUUAGGUAGCAAAAGCAUUGGAAGAGUUUCUUGACUUACCAGUAUUUGUUGAUAGUCCGCAUGAUAGACUACCAAACUGUUGUUGUAACAAUUUCUACAUUUUUUUCCUCUUUCCUUUUUACAAUUUGCAUAUGAUUUUAUAAAUUAAAGACAGCAGGUUUUUGGUUAUGCUUCAUGCUUUUUAACAAUUUAUUUAAGGCUGAAAGCUGUUAGCAUCAUAUACAUUUCAAAACUGUUGUAUACUGUACCAUUAAGCAAUUUAGUUUUGUAAUUUUUGA